GGAAUGCUGCUGAAAUCUACAGGAAGUUUUUUAGAAUUUGGCUUACAGGAGAGCUGUGCUGAAUUUUGGACUAGUGCGGAUGACAGCAGUGCUUCCGACGAAAUCAGGAGGUCUGUUAUAGAGAUCAGUCGAGCCCUGAAGGAGCUCUUCCAUGAAGCCAGAGAAAGGGCUUCCAAAGCACUUGGAUUUGCUAAAAUGUUGAGAAAGGUGAGCUUGCAAUCCUGAUUAAUUAGUACCUUUUUUCUUGUUUUUCUUUUAUCUUAUUUUUUUAAUGCUAACCGUAAAGAAGUUUCUUUGUAACUGUGAUCCUAGGACCUGGAAAUAGCAGCAGAAUUCAGGCUUUCAGCCCCAGUUAGAGACCUCCUGGAUGUUCUGAAAUCAAAACAGUAUGUC
rnacentral:lncRNA from 1 species